AGAAAACUAUACCUCACCCAAACAAAAAGUCGCUCGGACUUCGUAGAAAGAAAAAGGGGAGUUUUGAGAUUCAAAUCAAAGAAAUCCACGAUGGACCACGAGGCAGAGCACCUGCCUGAGUACAAACGGAUGCACCACCUGACAUACCGCAGGAAUCUUCGCGUGGUCACCGUAGUCUGGGGGUUAUUAUCGGCCUGUUUUGUGAUCUUGAAUGCCGUCGCCUUCAUCCAGCCCCAGUGGCUGGGGGACACAGAGACCUCCCCGGGGGUGGGGUUUUUUCGGUCUGUAUGAGUACUGCGAGCGGCUACAGGUAGGAGGGGAGUACAGCUGUCGUGGGGACUUCAUGGACUUCGCCAGCCUGACCAACGACUCGUUCCGUGCAGCCAGCAUGUUAGUUGGGGUCUGUAACCUCGUCUUCAUCUUCUCUGUCGUCUGCCUGCUGCUCUUCUGCUUCCUGAAAGCCGCCACUGUUCUGAAGAUUUGUGGAGUGUUACAGGCCAUCGGAUGUGUGUGUAUGGCCCUGGGCUGCAUCAUAUACCCCAACGGAUGGGACGAUGAGAUGGUUCAAAGGACGUGUGGUAAGGACGCCGACAAGUACCGUGUGGGUCAGUGUCAGGUCCGCUGGGCCUUCAUCCUCGCCAUUGUCCUCAUCUUCAACGCCCUUGCCAUGGCGGUCCUAGCUUUUGUUCUGGCGGCCAAACAGGCAAACCUGCUACAGAAGGCAGAGUAUCGCAAACAGAGAUCAUCGUUUACAAAUGGAGGAUUUACGGACAUUAGGCCCAUCAACGAAAAAUCUGUCAUUGACGAAACAGUCAUGGUAGACAACUCUUCCCAACAGGGGGAUGACAUCAGGCUGUAGGGCAGACAACUCUUGAGAAGUCAAACUUCCUUAAGAAACACAACAUCAAUAAUUAAAGUUUAGGCUUAAGUUGUAGACGUUACUUCCUACAUGUAAAAAAAUAUGUAUUUAAAAGAUUUUGUCAGAUAUAUAUGUAGUACUAUAAUUUUAUUACAUGUACCAGGGUACGUAUAAUUUUGAGGGUUAUUCGAUUUUAAAGAUGUUUAUAAAGACUGAAUAUUUGGCUGUAAUAUGAAAAAUCAGUUGUUACUGUAAUUGAUAUCAAUGGGAUGUGAUAUGUACUUGUAAAACCUUAGACACCAAUCUAGAUGUAUAUCAUUGUACAUUGUACAUUGUAUAUUUUUACUUUUUUCUCAUGUGUCAUGUACGCAAUACUCAUUAUUCAUAUAAAACUGUGUAUCAGGUUAUUUCAAUGUUGGGAAAUUUUGGCAAAGUUUGACCCAAGAAAAAUUUCUAUAUUUUGGUAGAUUUUAAUAAUUCAAGACUUGCUGGUGAGUUUUUGAUAAAAUUUUGUUAUCCCUCUAAAAUAAGCCAAAUUAUUCAGCAUCCUAAAAUUUCCUUACAUGCAGCAAUUGUAUGAAAGAGGCAUUCUGCAGAAGUUAUCAUGUCUUGAUAAUACUAGUAAGCAAAUGCUUCCAAAAAUUGUGAAUCUCCAUUUUGAAAUUUUAUAAUGUUUAAGUACAUGUAUUUGUAAUUAAUUGCAGUAUUAGAAAUUGAAUCAAUACAAGAAAAAAAACAUGGUUAAGAAGAUUUACGUAUGCAUGAUUGUACAA
rnacentral:misc_RNA from 1 species